CGUGCUUAACACAUGCAAGUCGAACGAUGAAGCUGGGUGCUUGCACUUGGUGGAUUAGUGGCGAACGGGUGAGUAACACGUGAGCAAUCUGCCCUUGACUCUGGGAUAAGCGUUGGAAACGACGUCUAAUACCGGAUACGACCCUCGGAGGCAUCUCCUGGGGGUGGAAAGAAUUUUGGUCAAGGAUGAGCUCGCGGCCUAUCAGCUUGUUGGUGAGGUAAUGGCUCACCAAGGCGACGACGGGUAGCCGGCCUGAGAGGGUGACCGGCCACACUGGGACUGAGACACGGCCCAGACUCCUACGGGAGGCAGCAGUGGGGAAUAUUGCACAAUGGGCGAAAGCCUGAUGCAGCAACGCCGCGUGAGGGAUGACGGCCUUCGGGUUGUAAACCUCUUUUAGUAGGGAAGAAGCGAAAGUGACGGUACCUGCAGAAAAAGCACCGGCUAACUACGUGCCAGCAGCCGCGGUAAUACGUAGGGUGCAAGCGUUGUCCGGAAUUAUUGGGCGUAAAGAGCUCGUAGGCGGUUUGUCGCGUCUGCUGUGAAAUCUGGGGGCUCAACCCCCAGCCUGCAGUGGGUACGGGCAGACUAGAGUGCGGUAGGGGAGAUUGGAAUUCCUGGUGUAGCGGUGGAAUGCGCAGAUAUCAGGAGGAACACCGAUGGCGAAGGCAGAUCUCUGGGCCGUAACUGACGCUGAGGAGCGAAAGCAUGGGGAGCGAACAGGAUUAGAUACCCUGGUAGUCCAUGCCGUAAACGUUGGGAACUAGAUGUG
rnacentral:rRNA from 1 species